AUUGAACGCUGGCGGCAGGCCUAACACAUGCAAGUCGAACGAGUGGCGGACGGGUGAGUAAUGUCUGGGAAACUGCCUGAUGGAGGGGGAUAACUACUGGAAACGGUAGUUAAUACCGCAUACCAUCGGAUGUGCCCAGAUGGGAUUAGCUAGUAGGUGGGGUAAAGGCUCACCUAGGCGACGAUCCAUAGCUGGUCUGAGAGGAUGACCAGCAACACUGGAACUGAGACACGGUCCAGACUCCUACGGGAGGCAGCAGUAGGGAAUAUUACACAAUGGGCGAAAGCCUGAUGGAGCAAUGCGGCGUGUAUGAAGAAGGCCUUAGGAUUGUAAAGUGCUUUGAGCAGGGAGGCGUUACCCGAAGAAGAAGCACCGGCUAACUCCGUGCCAGCAGCCGCGGUAAUUC
rnacentral:rRNA from 1 species